CCAGUCCUACGGGGGGCAGCAGUAGGGAAUAUUGCUCAAUGGGGGAAACCCUGAAGCAGCAACGCCGCGUGGAGGAUGAAGGUUUUCGGAUUGUAAACUCCUUUUGUUAGAGAAGAUAAUGACGGUAUCUAACGAAUAAGCACCGGCUAACUCCGUGCCAGCAGCCGCGGUAAUACGGAGGGUGCAAGCGUUACUCGGAAUCACCGGGCGUAAAGAGCGCGUAGGCGGGAUAGCAAGUCAGAUGUGAAAUCCUAUGGCUUAACCAUAGAACUGCAUUUGAAACUGUUACUCUGGAGUGUGGGAGG
rnacentral:rRNA from 1 species